UGCUCCAUCUUCUGAAGAU
rnacentral:misc_RNA from 1 species